rnacentral:lncRNA from 1 species
CCCGCGCGCCCCCUCCCCUCUCCGCCGGGUGUGCGAGGCUGCUGAGGCGGGGUGCGCGAGAGGCCCAGCCCCCUGGCCGUCUUUCUGAGGUUCCAGGCCAGGUUUGAAGCGCAGUAAAACUGGGAGAAGGUUCGGAAUAAACUACAGGUGGAGGAACUUAAAGACAAUCAGUGUCUAGAGCGGGGUACGAGUAAGACUAUAUCGAGAGUGAAAGACUGAGGAGAGAGGACAAAGCUAGCAGUGACCAAGGUUAAACUGGCCCACUUACCUCGGAGCUUCGGAAUCUACCCACCAAUUCUGUGGAGAUAGCGAGAGUAUCAUCUUUCAGCUGAAGAACAUUAGAGCAUGUAGAAGGUAAGAUACACAACUUAACUAUACCAAUAAACCUAUACAA